rnacentral:lncRNA from 1 species
GAGAAACGAGAUCUGCUCUUUCGGUCCCAACUCUGGGAUUGCUCUAUCACCGCCUCCCAAGAUCCAUUAAGUCAUCAUUGUUUCUGCCAUACUUCCACUUCCACGUUGCUCCUGCAAUUACCGGUGCCCAACAGUUUCUGGCCUACUGUUCCAGUCUUCAGUUCUUCAUCCACCAACGCACAGCCGUGCUCCGCCAGCAUCACUCCAAACUUGACGACGAAGCUGCUGUCCAGACGUGUCAUGAGCCCGAUGCUCAGCAAUUCCAGGCGUGUUCUUUGUCCAGCGAGCAAUCCUCAGCAAAGUUCAAUCACCGACGCAGUAAGAUCAAAAUUUCGUGGCUGUCUGUUGCUGCUUCGAAUUUGCCAUUGAUAACUCAUCGCUAGCCGCCGUGAAAAGUUUCGGUCCAUUGCCAUCUGCAAGUCCCUGCACCGCGAGCUUUAAGCUGCUCCUCGCCACACGUGCGAAGAGGUUAGUAAAAACCAGGGAAUUCUCAGCUGAACAAACCAAGAAUUCUUGCACAUACACGAACGGAAUCUCG